CCUGUUUAUCAAAAACAUCGCCUUUAGCCCCACAAGUAUUAAAGGUCCCGCCUGCCCAGUGAACAAUUUUUCAACGGCCGCGGUAUCCUAACCGUGCAAAGGUAGCGUAAUCACUUGCCCCUUAAAUAGGGGCCCGUAUGAACGGCUAACUGAGGGCACACCUGUCUCCUGAUGCUAACUAAUGAAACUGAUCUUCUGGUACAAAAGCCAGAAUACACCCACAAGACGAGAAGACCCUGUGGAGCUUAUAACCUAAUCACUACCAACCACCCUGUCCUAGUGAGUAGUUUAAGUUGGGGCGACUACGGAGCACAACAAACCCUCCAAGAAUCAGGGCUAACACCCCACCCCCAGGCACACACGCCAAAACAACCCAUUUGACCCAGUACCACUGACCAUCGAACCAAGUUACCCCAGGGAUAACAGCGCCAUCCCCCUCUAGAGUCCAUAUCACCAGGGGGGUUUACGACCUCGAUGUUGGAUCAGGACACCCCGGCGGUGCAGCCGCUGCCAAAGGCC
rnacentral:rRNA from 1 species